rnacentral:lncRNA from 1 species
UUAUUCACUCAUUUAUGCAAAUGUUUUGAGUGGUAGUAUUGGUUCUAAAUUUAUUAUCGUAUUGUUGGCGCUAAUCAUUAAUCACAAAAAUUUGAGCUAUCAAAAAAAUACAACUAAUUCAUUUAAAGUGUACAAGCACAACAACCAUGGAUCUUUAUUCUGACUCGAUCCGGCCAACGUCACGCCAAUCCGAAUAUAACUCGACCCAAUCCGACAUCCCGCUAUUUCGAUCGUGACUCGUUCCAACUCGACCGUGACCCAUUUAAAUCAAUAUUUAUGACUUCUUAUAUAUAGUUAUUUUAGACAUUAUAGGUCACAUCUAUAAAAUUAAUUAAAAUUUAAAAUAUUAAUUAGUAAAUAAUAAAUAAGGUGUGUAUGAUGUA